rnacentral:rRNA from 1 species
UACGUAGGGGGCAAGCGUUUGUCCGGAAUCAUUGGGCGUAAAGCGCGUGUAGGCGGCUUGGUAAGUCCGUUCUGAAAGCCCGGGGCUCAACCCCGGGAGGCGGAUGGAUACUGCUGAGCUCGAGUCCGGAAGAGGCGAGUGGAAUUCCUGGUGUAGCGGUGAAAUGCGCAGAUAUCAGGAGGAACACCAAUGGCGAAGGCAGCUCGCUGGGACGGUACUGACGCUGAGACGCGAAAGCGUGGGGAGCAAACAGG